GAUGAACGCUGGCGGCGUGCCUAAUACAUGCAAGUCGAGCGAACAGACGAGGAGCUUGCUCCUCUGACGUUAGCGGCGGACGGGUGAGUAACACGUGGAUAACCUACCUAUAAGACUGGGAUAACUUCGGGAAACCGGAGCUAAUACCGGAUAAUAUAUUGAACCGCAUGGUUCAAUAGUGAAAGACGGUUUUGCUGUCACUUAUAGAUGGAUCCGCGCCGCAUUAGCUAGUUGGUAAGGUAACGGCUUACCAAGGCAACGAUGCGUAGCCGACCUGAGAGGUUGACCGGCACCACGGGAGCGGAGCCGCGUCCCAGCCCCAUGCGGGAGGCGCAGGAGGGAAUUCUCCGGCAAGGGGGAAAGACCUGCGGGGACAGGCCGGGGGAGGGGAUAAGGUUCUUGGGUUUGAAAACUUUGUUUAUGGGGGAAAACAAAAUGUGAAAGAAGUUGUGCCGUUCUGGAGGGUACCUAACAAAAAGGCCAGGGCUAACUACGUG
rnacentral:rRNA from 1 species